GACGAACGCUGGCGGCGUGCUUAACACAUGCAAGUCGAACGGAAAGGCCCUGCUUUUGUGGGGUGCUCGAGUGGCGAACGGGUGAGUAACACGCGAGUAACCUGCCCUUGACUUUGGGAUAACUUCAGGAAACUGGGGCUAAUACCGGAUAGGAGCUCCUGCUGCAUGGUGGGGGUUGGAAAGUUUCGGCGGUUGGGGCUGGACUCGCGGCUUAUCAGCUUGUUGGUGGGGUAGUGGCUUACCAAGGCUUUGACGGGUAGCCGGCCUGAGAGGGUGACCGGCCACAUUGGGACUGAGGUACGGCCCAGACUCCUACGGGAGGCAGCAGUGGGGAAUAUUGCACAAUGGGCGGAAGCCUGAUGCAGCAACGCCGCGUGCGGGAUGACGGCCUUCGGGUUGUAAACCGCUUUCGCCUGUGACGAAGCGUGAGUGACGGUAAUGGGUAAAGAAGCACCGGCUAACUACGUG
rnacentral:rRNA from 1 species